UACGUAGGGGACGAGCGUUGUCCGAAGUUACUGGGCGUAAAGCGCGCGUAGGCGGGUUGGCAAGUCUGCUGUGAAAGCCCGGGGCUUAACUCCGGAGGGUCGGUGGAUACUGCCAGUCUUGAAGGUGCUAGGGAGAGAUGGAAUUACCGGUGUAGCGGUGAAAUGCGUAGAUAUCGGUAGGAACACCAGUGGCGAAGGCGGUCUCUUGGGGCAUUCUUGACGCUGAGGCGCGAAAGCUGGGGGAGCGAACAGG
rnacentral:rRNA from 1 species